rnacentral:rRNA from 1 species
GGCUUAUUGAUAAUAAUUUUAGGUCUAUCUGCCCAAUGAUUAAAAUUUAAUGGCUGCAGUAUAAUUAACUGUACAAAGGUAGCAUAAUCAAUUGUUUUUUAAUUGGAAACUAGAAUGAAAGAAUUAAUGAGAUAUAUACUGUCUCAUAUAUAUUUAAUGAAAUUAAAUUUUUAGUAAGAAUGCUGAAAUUUAUUUAUGGGACGAUAAGACCCUAUAGAAUUUUAUAUUUAUUUUUAAAUUUGGUUUAAUUUUAUAAAUAAAUAUUUAGUUGGGAGGACAAAUAAAUUAAAAUAACUUUAUUUUAAAUAUAACCUUUAAUUAAAGAAUAGUUUUUGAGCUUUUAUUAAAAAUUAUAAGAAAAAAUUACCUUAGGGAUAACAGCGUAAUAUCUUUUUAAAGAUCAAAUUAAUAAAGAUGAUUGCGACCUCGAUGUUGAAUUAAGAUAAAUUUUAAAUGAAGAAGUUUAAUGAUUAAGUCUGUUCGACUUUUAAAAUCUUACAUGAUUUGAGUUCAAAUCGACGUGAGU